GUGUAAACGGGACUUUUAUUUUGGUCUGGUGUUGUGAUGUCACAAAGCGGCGACGCGCUCCUGCCUUUUGUUGUGUUUCGGCUGAAGAAAGGAAAUAAGUGUCCACACGCACAAAAAAACUCCUGCUGAAACAACUGAGAUCCACGUGACAUAUAUAAAGAUGAUGUUUAUUAUAGAGGAGAGUGAAAACAUGAAGAUUGAAGAAGCAUUCAGAGUCAAACAUGAAGAUACUGAGACACUCACAAAGAUGGCAUUGAUUGGAGAGGAGAGUGAAGAUGUGAAGAUUGAAGAAGCAUUCAGAGUCAAAUAUGAAGAUACUGAGACACACACAAAGAUGGCAUUUAUUGGAGAGGAGAGUGAAGACGUGAAGA